rnacentral:rRNA from 1 species
GGGUCAGUAGGUUGGUCGUGCCACCGGUACGUACUGGUCUCACUGAUUCCUCCUUCCUGAGGAACCGUAAUGCCAUUAAUUCGGUGUUGCGGGGAAACAGGACUGUUACUUUGAAAAAAUUAGAGUGUUUAAAGCAAGCUAACGCUUGAAUACAUUAGCAUGGAAUAAUGAAAUAGGACGAUCGAUCCUAUUUUGUUGGUUUCUAGGAUUGACGUA